rnacentral:rRNA from 1 species
GAUGAACGCUAGCGGCAGGCUUAAUACAUGCAAGUCGAGGGGCGAGCAGGGGUAGGCAAUACCCGCUGGCGACCGGCAAACGGGUGUGGAACACGUACAGAACCUUCCUUAGAGUGGGGGAGUAGCCCGGAGAAAUCCGGAUUAAUACCCCACUAGUAUUGUUGGUUGGCACCAAUUGGCAAUUAAAGAUUUAUUGCUCUAAGAUGGCUGUGCGGCUGAUUAGGUAGUUGGUUGGGGUAACGGCCCACCAAGCCAGCGAUCAGUAACUGGUGUGAGAGCACGACCAGUCACACGGGCACUGAGACACGGGCCCGACUCCUACGGGAGGCAGCAGUAAGGAAUAUUGGUCAAUGGACGCAAGUCUGAACCAGCCAUGCCGCGUGAAGGAUGAAGGCCUU